GAGUGGAAUGUUCCAACUCUUUAAGGGCCUGAGACACAGUAGACGCAGCCUUUUCACUAUAGCUGCUAUGGAGGCCCGCCGCUCUCUGGAGAUCCCCGAAGGCCGGGACCCUUUUCUAGGCGCUCGCCGUUUGGAAUGAGCAAAUCCGAGAAAAUGGGGUGGCAGACCCACUGCAGAGUAUCGAAGUUGGGGGCAGCAUCCCACCCUGAGGUUGCAAGUUAGCGAGGGACUGGCAACCCUUCAACAGCUGAGUUUUGGAGUGGGGAGCACUGGCCUGGCGAGAGGUGCUUUAUUCGUUCCCCCAGGUUUUGAGUGCUGAAGGCUGAUCAGUGCAGUUUCAAAGCUGGUGGGGGUGGCAGUGGCAGCAGCAGCUCACCUGAGAAAAGAGGCUAAUUUCCCAGAGAAUGGUCAGCUAUGCUACCACAGGGGCAGAGUUUUGAAGUCCCAAGGACCAGUAGCCACCAUCAACUUGGACUCUGAAAACCAAAGCUUCAACUUUUGGUGUAGAAACAUGUUCAACUUAAGCCGAUAUCAACAGGCCAUCUUACCAACAUAGCGCCGAGAAAGGAACAUGGCAAACAUUUUCUAGGACAGCCACUUUUGGGUCAUUAAAUUCAUGAGCUUUCUAGUAUUAUCCCUUGCUCAAAAGGAGCACCUGUAUGUAAUGUAUAUUUUAAUGUUAUGUAAAUCUGUUAUAUUGGGCAAGGGUCUGAAUUAAGCUGGAAACAUUCCUGAAAUUAUCUCCAUGCAUUACCAUAAACUAACAUUGUAAUAAAA